UUCCGCUCUCUCAAAUCCUCUAACCCCACAGUGACCGAACUCCUUACCCCAUUGCCCCUGAGGGUAUGGUUACAACAUGAUAAUAAGGGUACCAACACAAUUUUCUGGGGCAUGAAUGUAGUCUGUUGUCAUCAUCAUCAUCUUGGACAUUUUCCAGCCUCUGGCCAGGGCACCAGUUCUAUGAACCUCAACCACGUCAAAAUCAGAUAUCUCUCAUCCAUUAUAACUCAAAUACAAUUAGAUACAUGAAAACCACCUGAUGUCGAACCCGUCAAUUCAAAACUGGUAAAAGCACUAUCUGUCCUUAAUAAAGAACAUUGAUAACAGUGGCUAGUUGUUGUUUUUACUUUUUGUAGGAAUUAAUUUGUAAUACUAAAUUUACUUUUCACAAGUGAGUCUGAAUUGUACUCAGUCCUUUAACUUACAAG